UUCAGGUAGUUCCCAGGAACGGUUCUGCAAAGAUGAGGAUGUUCCUGGCUCCUUUGUAUUUGAGGAAAAGCAGAGAAGAAGUGAGUGUGAAGAUGAAUGCAGACAGACUGCCCACUCACCUGAGAGUUCCUGUUCUCCCAAUUCUUCUCCAGUAUGGAAACGCAGAAGAAGAAACAAUUUUGACUCCUCUGCGGUUUCAGAGAGCAAAAACCAUUACCUGCAGAUGUACCACACUGCACUGGAAAGCCUUACUGCCUCAGGACAUCAGGAUGCUUUUUCCAAGUGCUCAGAGUGGGAAGCCUUUGGUGGAAAAGAUGAAGUAAUGACAGUGCAACAAAGUAUGGAAAUAACAAGUGACUUGAUUUCAGCCAGUUGUUCUUCAGUAUGGAACAAUCCUAAACACAAGAAACCCAGCUUCUUUCUGCCUGACAGGAAGACUUGCAGAGAUGCAAACUUCAGGCUGGAGAGGCUUAAACUUUGUAGCAGUUUAUUGGAUGGACAUCAGUCAGAAUACCCUGACACAGAAUGGGAAAGUGCAAAUGCUGAAGAGACAAUACUGAGGAAAAAAAUCUAAAUACCAAGUCUCUCUUUGUAUAUAGAAGUAUUGAAGAAGGAAUUUCUCCUGUGACAGAAAGACUUGAAGAAUAGGGAUGUAGUCUGAGAUCAGCAGAUCAAGUCUUGGCCAACUGCUGCUGUGUCCUGGUUUAGGACAAAUUAGGGGAAAUCUCCAAAAGGGAGCCCCCCAAAACAAAACAAAACCUCCAACCACUCCUCCCCCAACACUGGGUUCGGGAAGGAAUUCCUCGGAGGAGCAAAGUGGAAAACAAAACCUAUUUAUUUACAAGUAACAAAAGAACACUCCCCAACACAAGAAAAGAAAAGAGACCAGACUGUGUUGUGAAGGGCGCCGAGCUUCUGUCGCAGGCUUCGGGGGUCCUGGAGCUCGCAGGUCAGGUCCGGAGCCGGUCCAGUAUCUUCAGGGGAGGGUAAGAAAGAGAGAACAAAAGAAAAGGAAAAAAAAAACCAGCGCAAAAGCAGAAAACAAGCAAGCAAGCGGCUAGCCAAGCCAAGCAGCAAAAGCCAAAAGCGAAAGUGCCUGGGCACACCCCCCCCCUCCUCUCUUUCCCGCCCCGCCACAGCCAGACGGCCGGGGGGGGGGAAGGCACAGCUGCCAGACAGAACACACGAUAUUGCGAUAAAGGCUGUCACCCCACGACAGCUAUAUAGAUUAUCAAGGCUGUAAGUCUAUUAUUUCAGCAAGAUAAAAGAUAAUCCUGCUUCCCACCAUGAGAGAUACAGCAGAAGACACAAACAGCCAUUAGGUCCAACCAAAAGUCCAUAUAACCAUUUAUCCAGUGUGCCAGGAAGGAGUGUGCUUCCAAAUCCCAGAUCCUAAAGCUCUGUGCAAAUGAGUUACUCUGUCAUGAGCUGAAGCCUCAUGCUGGGAGUAACAGACCAGGCCUGGAGAACACAAGCUGACUUCGCAGAUAAAAACCUGUAGCCAGAAAAUUUGGCAGUCUGGCAGAAAAUGUGCCAGAAUUCAAGUUAAAUGCAUUGUGCAGGAAUGAGACAGACCUAAAAGCAAAGAUGACAGACUUGCACGCUGGCUGACAGCAUUUUACUGGGAAGGAGAUCAAAGCCUUCAAUCCUACAACGCUCUCCAGUUUCUGUUGAUUAGUGGCUGAAAUCGUUCUGCUUAAAAUAAAAAGGCAGGAUUGUUCUUUCUGUGAUGAAUGUAUUCAGUCAGUUUUGGGUUCAGGUGACCCUUCAGUAUCACAGCAGCAGCACUGGCUCGGCAGCUCUCCCCAGGGCUGUGCCAUCCCAAACCUCUGCAGCCACACGGAGCCCAGCUCGGUGCCUCGGAGCUUUUCUGUCUCCAGGAUUUCCUGUUCUCAUUUCAGGUUUGCAGGAAGCCUCUGGCCCAAGGGCCCCUGGUUUGCUCUGGGUGAAAGCAGAGGAAAACCAUCCAGAAAACCUGCAGGGGCUGUCACAGCCUGUCACUGUCACAUGCUCUGGAAAAGUCCCUUUGCCAGGA